UAUAUCCUACGGGGGGCAGCAGUGGGGGAUAUUGCACAAUGGGGGAAACCCUGAUGCAGCGACGCCGCGUGAGGGAAGACGGCCUUCGGGUUGUAAACCUCUGUCGCAGGGGACGAAGGAAGUGACGGUACCCUGUGAGGAAGCCACGGCUAACUACGUGCCAGCAGCCGCGGUAAUACGGAGGAUGCGAGCGUUAUCCGGAUUUAUUGGGUUUAAAGGGUGCGUAGGCGGAUUUUUAAGUCAGCGGUGAAAUACCCACGCUCAACAUCGGGGCUGCCGCUAAUACUGUAGGACUAGAGAUCGGA
rnacentral:rRNA from 1 species